ensembl:lncRNA
CCCUCAUUCCAUCCUGAAUUAGAGCCAUUUGUGUACACACUGUCCCCACAGCUGGCAGGUGGUUCUCAUGGGAAACCUCUACUGUUGACACCGAGCUCUAGAUGACCUCACCCCCAGGCUGCAGCCCACAGUAGACAUUGAUGUUAUAUUAAUCAGAUUGGCUGAGAUGACCCCCUCUGAGCAUCUCCAUGAACACAGAGCACUCAGAGGUGUGAGGAGAGCAGAAAGGAGAGAUGACCGAAGGGUCUGGGACCCCUGCCAGGCCCUCCUCAGGUCCCUCAGCCCCCCAGGGAGACUCUCUGGAAUUGUGUUUUCCCUCUGUUUUGGGGCUGAGCCUCUAUUUAGUCCCUGGAGGGGGCUGGCAUUAUUUUCCUCAAGGUUUCAAGGGGGUUGAGGAACGUUUCAUGUUUCUCUGUUUGGCAAAUAGUCCGUCCCCUGCCUCGGCUUCCAGCAAUCAGGAAUCCCAGACACGGAAGCCAGAGGGACUCAGGUUUCUUCCUGAGGAGGGGCCGCCCCAGCAGAUGCCAGUCGAGAGAGCCGGGAACUCCCGCCAGGAGGUGGAGGGUGCAGGUGGCGGGUGCUGCAACCACCUCAGCUGUGAGUCAUCUCUGAAUCAUCGGCCUUACCUCCCCCGGAAACUUCAGGGGCUUCUUCUCUUCAGGAUGCCCUGCCAUCUUCUCAGAGGACUCAUGAGAUGGCGCUCGUGGUGGAGCUGCCAGCUGUGCCCACGAAAGCUACCAUGACCGUGUCUUCACUGGAGCUUGUGUGUGAUGGGGUCAGAAUUCCAUCCGCAAGAGCAACUGGGACCUGGAAGACUCCUCGCCUCUGGAGUCCCCUUGCAACCUGGAAGCUCCAGCACUUCCCUGGAGCCUAGCACACAUGCACAGACAAAAAGAUUCACUACAUAGAUCGUCAACACUGCUAACCAACCACAGAACAAGAUACAACCACAGCAAGUAAGGGACAUGGCCUGUGACUCAGUCUUUGUGGAGGUUCAAGGGCUCCAUGGAGGGGCUGGGAUGUCCAGGGGUCCCCAAGAGAAAGGCUGCUCAAUGCCCACUUCCCAUUGGCUACGGGACUUGACCUCUCCUUGGCGCCUCUCCCAGAAGCCAGGUCAGGAGAGGAGGAAGGCAAGGGGAGAGGGCAGCAUCCUGGCUCACAGGCAGCCCUCCCAAUGGCCCUCUUCUGAAGGAAGCAGUGGACCCGGCUUCUGGACAAGUCCUUGCCAGUGGAUCCAAUUCCAAGUGUGGGGUGCUUCCCACCUGGAGAUCCUCCUGGACGCUCACAGUACACCCACUCUCUGGGAAGUCACAGAACCGCGUGUCCUCUUAGGACGCUGGGAGAUGUAGCACAGCCUCAUCUCCAAUACUGAAACACUGAGAGACGUAAUAUCCCUCAGACAGGGCAGAAACAUCACAGCACUGUUCACAGCAGGAGCCACGAGAGUGGGAACUUAACACACAGGAGAAAGGAGCACCCCCAGAAGACAGAGGAGCAGAGUGGGGCACACACAUCUACGGCUGAGACGACAAUCACAUCACACCUGAAAGAGGCUGUGGGGUGGGAGAACGGGGGCUUUUGUCUGUCUGUUGCUG